rnacentral:ncRNA from 1 species
CCAGUGCGGUAAGUAAUAGUGCCGUCUUAAGGUGGAAACCUUAAGUAAUAAAACCUUUGAAUUCAGAGAAGGCUAAGGAUGUAAAUCUAUGCUAAUUCUGAGCUAAGUAAAUCUUACAAAAACAGUUGUACCAUUAUUAGACAACCCCUUGUUUUAUAUAUAAUCAAGCGUCUUCUAAUAUCGGUACACGAUAAAAAGAUUAAAAAGUGCAGAGACUAUCCCAUUUUGGGAGUACGCCAGAAGUCUGGUGGAAGCGGAGGUUACCUAUAGAAAAGGUAAAGAUAUAGUCCGAUCUUACAGGAAACUGUAAG